GAUGAACGCUGGCGGCGUGCCUAAUACAUGCAAGUCGAGCGAACAGACGAGGAGCUUGCUCCUCUGACGUUAGCGGCGGACGGGUGAGUAACACGUGGAUACCCUCCCUAUAAGACUGGGAUAACUUCGGGAAACCGGAGCUAAUACCGGCUAACAUGUUGAACCGCAUGGUUCAACAGUGAAAGACGGUCUUGCUGUCACUUAUAGAUGGAUCCGCGCCGCAUUAGCUAGUUGGUAAGGUAACGGCUUACCAAGGCAACGAUGCGUAGCCGACCUGAGAGGGUGAUCGGCCACACUGGAACUGAGACACGGUCCAGACUCCUACGGGAGGCAGCAGUAGGGAAUCUUCCGCAAUGGGCGAAAGCCUGACGGAGCAACGCCGCGUGAGUGAAGAAGGUCUUCGGAUCGUAAAACUCUGUUAUUAGGGAAGAACAAAUGUGUAAGUAACUAUGCACGUCUUGACGGUACCUAAUCAGAAAGCCACGGCUAACUACGUG
rnacentral:rRNA from 1 species